AGCUGAUGGAAGGUCUUGAAGUUCUCUGACUGGCCUCGACUGAAGAUGGUCGUCCCACUGGAUUUAAGGUUCAGAUGCUCAGUAACAAACUCCACCAAUGUGCCAACAGGGAAGCUUUAGGUUUAUUAAAUGUUGCUAUGAAGGUAUCACUGUUUUUCUUUGUGAAUGUAAUGUGCUCCAACUGAAACUUGAAUUAGAACUUAGAAGUAAAUCCUUCCAUCUGAAAGGAUUUAGUUGCAUUAAUAACCUCAUAACAUUCUAAUUUUUAUUCCAGUCUUGGUUGGAAAUAGAAUCUCUGUAUUGAUUCAGGUAAAAACUGAACUUCACAGCAUGUUGAAGCAAAACAACCAGAUGAAAACUGUGAUGGUGUUGGAUUGUCAGACCGUAAUGUUGCAGCUCAAAGCAGCUUUUCUAGCUCAGUUCAUUCUGACAUUCAGCUAUGAAUCAACACAGCAGAUGGUGAUCCAUGCUGUGGAAGUCUCACAUCUCCUGAUUUAAUGGAGCUGCUUUGCACUUUUUACACUGUUUAUUCACCAACACUUUAUUUAAUAAAAGUCCCAUCGAGUUUUUAUGAGGAUUGUGAUGUUUUAAUUUCUCUGUGAAUAACUGCAGUCUAAUGCAACAGCUGGAGUUGUAACAUCUGUCAUGAUAUUGAUCAUGAAAUAUUGAUCAGAAUACUUAUGAUGCACAAUGAGGGACGUCUGCAGAGACUGAGAAAGAGUCUCACCACAUCCUGACAUGAGGAAAAAGACUAUUGAAGACUACAAUGAGGAAAAAAAAAAAAAAAA
ensembl:lncRNA